UACGUAGGGGGCGAGCGUUGUUCGGAUUUACUGGGCGUAAAGCGCGUGUAGGCGGGUCGUUAAGUUGGGGGUGAAAGCCCGGAGCUCAACCCCGGGACUGCCUUCAAAACUGGCGGCCUGGAGCAUGGCAGAGGCGAGUGGAAUUGCGGGUGUAGAGGUGAAAUUCGUAGAUAUUCGCAGGAACACCAGUGGCGAAGGCGACUCGCUGGGACGUUGCUGACGCUGAGACGCGAAAGCGUGGGGAGCAAACAGG
rnacentral:rRNA from 1 species